CUUAACACAUGCAAGUCGAGGGGCAGCAUGGUCUUAGCUUGCUAAGGCCGAUGGCGACCGGCGCACGGGUGAGUAACGCGUAUCCAACCUGCCUUACACUCUUGGACAGCCUUCUGAAAGGGAGAUUAAUACAAGAUGUUAUCAUGAGUAAGCAUUUUCACAUGAUUAAAGGUUUACCGGUGUAAGAUGGGGAUGCGUUCCAUUAGAUAGUAGGCGGGGUAACGGCCCACCUAGUCUUCGAUGGAUAGGGGUUCUGAGAGGAAGGUCCCCCACAUUGGAACUGAGACACGGUCCAAACUCCUACGGGAGGCAGCAGUGAGGAAUAUUGGUCAAUGGACGAGAGUCUGAACCAGCCAAGUAGCGUGAAGGAUGAAGGUUCUAUGGAUUGUAAACUUCUUUUAUACGGGAAUAAACGAAUCCACGUGUGGAUUUUUGCAUGUACCGUAUGAAUAAGGAUCGGCUAACUCCGUGCCAGCAGCCGCGGUAAUACGGAGGAUCCGAGCGUUAUCCGGAUUUAUUGGGUUUAAAGGGAGCGUAGAUGGGUUGUUAAGUCAGUUGUGAAAGUUUGCGGCUCAACCGUAAAAUUGCAAUUGAUACUGGCAGUCUUGAGUACAGUUGAGGUAGGCGGAAUUCGUGGUGUAGCGGUGAAAUGCUUAGAUAUCACGAAGAACUCCGAUUGCGAAGGCAGCUUACUAACCUGUAACUGACAUUGAUGCUCGAAAGUGUGGGUAUCAAACAGGAUUAGAUACCCUGGUAGUCCACACGGUAAACGAUGAAUACUCGCUGUAGGCGAUAUACAGUCUGCGGCCAAGCGAAAGCAUUAAGUAUUCCACCUGGGGAGUACGCCGGCAACGGUGAAACUCAAAGGAAUUGACGGGGGCCCGCACAAGCGGAGGAACAUGUGGUUUAAUUCGAUGAUACGCGAGGAACCUUACCCGGGCUUAAAUUGCAACCGAAUAUGGCGGAAACGCUAUAGCUAGCAAUAGCGGUUGUGAAGGUGCUGCAUGGUUGUCGUCAGCUCGUGCCGUGAGGUGUCGGCUUAAGUGCCAUAACGAGCGCAACCCUUGCCGAUAGUUACUAACAGGUCAUGCUGAGGACUCUGUCGGGACUGCCAUCGUAAGAUGUGAGGAAGGUGGGGAUGACGUCAAAUCAGCACGGCCCUUACGUCCGGGGCUACACACGUGUUACAAUGGGGGGUACAGAGGGCUGCUACCACGCAAGUGGAUGCCAAUCCCAAAAACCUCUCUCAGUUCGGAUUGAAGUCUGCAACCCGACUUCAUGAAGCUGGAUUCGCUAGUAAUCGCGCAUCAGCCACGGCGCGGUGAAUACGUUCCCGGGCCUUGUACACACCGCCCGUCAAGCCAUGGGAGCCGGGGGUACCUGAAGUGCGUAACCGCAAGGAGCGCCCUAGGGUAAAACUGGUGACUGGGGCUAAGUA
rnacentral:rRNA from 1 species